CCUACGGGUGGCAGCAGUGGGGGAUAUUGGACAAUGGGGGCAACCCUGAUCCAGCCAUGCCGCGUGUGUGAAGAAGGCCCUCGGGUUGUAAAGCACUUUCAGUGAGGAAGAACGCCUGGUGGUUAAUACCCAUCAGGAAAGACAUCACUCACAGAAGAAGCACCGGCUAACUCCGUGCCAGCAGCCGCGGUAAUACGGAGGGUGCGAGCGUUAAUCGGAAUUACUGGGCGUAAAGCGCGCGUAGGUGGCUUGAUAAGCCGGUUGUGAAAGCCCCGGGCUCAACCUGGGAACGGCAUCCGGAACUGUCAAGCUAGAGUGCAGGAGAGGAAGGUAGAAUUCCCGGUGUAGCGGUGAAAUGCGUAGAGAUCGGGAGGAAUACCAGUGGCGAAGGCGGCCUUCUGGACUGACACUGACACUGAGGUGCGAAAGCGUGGGUAGCAAACAGGAUUAGAUACCCGAGUAGUC
rnacentral:rRNA from 1 species